rnacentral:rRNA from 1 species
UACGGGGGGGGCAAGCGUUGUUCGGAAUUACUGGGCGUAAAGGGCUCGUAGGUGGCCAACUAAGUCAGACGUGAAAUCCCUCAGCUUAACUGGGGAACUGCGUCUGAUACUGGAUGGCUUGAGUUUGGGAGAGGGAUGCGGAAUUCCAGGUGUAGCGGUGGAAUGCGCAGAUAUCAGGAGGAACACCGGUGGCGAAGGCGGGAUCCUGGGCCAGUACUGACGCUGAGGAGCGAAAGCGUGGGGAGCAAACAGG